AUUGAACGCUGGCGGCAUGCCUUACACAUGCAAGUCGAACGGCAGCGGACCUUCGGGUGCCGGCGAGUGGCGAACGGGUGAGUAAAGUAUCGGAACGUACCUUUCAGUGGGGGAUAACUGUCCGAAAGGACAGCUAAUACCGCAUAUUCUGUGAGCAGGAAAGCAGGGGAUCGCAAGACCUUGCGCUGAUUGAGCGGCCGAUAUCAGAUUAGCUAGUUGGUGAGGUAAAGGCUCACCAAGGCGACGAUCUGUAGCGGGUCUGAGAGGAUGAUCCGCCACACUGGAACUGAGACACGGUCCAGACUCCUACGGGAGGCAGCAGUGGGGAAUUUUGGACAAUGGGGGCAACCCUGAUCCAGCCAUGCCGCGUGAGUGAAGAAGGCCUGGUUGU
rnacentral:rRNA from 1 species